rnacentral:misc_RNA from 1 species
GAUGAGAACGCAGCGAAAUGCGAUAAGUAGUGUGAAUUGCAGAAUUCAGUGAAUCAUCGAAUCUUUGAACGCACAUUGCGCCCCUUGGUAUCCCGAGGGGCAUGCCUGUUCGAGUGUCAUUUCACCACUCAAGCCUGGCUUGGUGUUGGGCGACGUCCUCUUUGGGGACGCGCCUCGAAACGCUCGGCGGCGUGGCACCGGCUUUAAGCGUAGCAGAAUCUUUCGCUUUGGAAGUCGGGGCCCCGUCUGCCGGAAGACCUGCUCGCAAGGUUGACCUCGGAUCAGGCAGGGAUACCCGCUGAACUUAAGCAUAUCAAUAAGCGGAGGA